AGUGCUGAGGGUUGAUGUGAGGAGAUUUGUUUUUGAGAUUGCAAAGACUUGGGAGCUACGGUUUCGAUUGACAGUGCUUGUUUGUUAGUUAGCUAUACAUACAAGUUAAAACUGCACACCUCUGAGAACAAGCCAUCUUGACCAGUUCACAGCUAGUUAUGCUAGUUAGCUAGCUAAAUCAGAGAGAAACAUCUGCACGAGCUCAGCCAUCCACACAGACGUGUGUGAAAUUAUUUCACGCUGAACAUUUUUACAACAAAACGUCACAAUCAGAACGAUUGGGAACAAUUUCAGGCUGGGAAGAUUUUUACAUGACACAGGUCAGUGUAAACAAGUAACCAAAGAUUUUUUAUAACUAACCAAAGAUAGACCACUGCAUGUCAUUUCCAGAACAACCAAGGUGGGCAGAGCCAAGCGCAAGCUAGCGAGUGAGUCAUUCCAAUUAAAAAACAUUUAAAUAAAAUAGGGUUGACACACACUGUCUCCGAUAAGAUUAGCAUUCCUGAAACAUUAUUUUGUUUGAAUAUUAAGCUAAUUGAUUGCGCUCAAAUUUGCCAUAAUAGGUUUCAUAUAAUCUAAAAUAAAUAUAGUACCCAGCAUCUGAUUUGGGCCAUAAUUCUUCCUAACAAUUAGUAAGACAUGAGGAAUCCAAUAAAAUUAUAAAAACGUCACCAAAACAUAUAAAUGUUUUCUAAUAAUUGUAUUGAACAACAUGACUGCAAUGCAAAGGUUUAUAAUUGUAUUAUUUUAUUAGGGUUGUGACAAGAUUUUAGUCACCAUCCCAUUUCUCCAUCAAAGUUUUGGGUUUGUAGGAAAAGUCUUCAUAUGAGAAUUGCACCAUACAGAUAGCCCUCUGAGAGCUGCUAUUUGUUGGACUUUUCAAGGAGAGUUGGGUUGACGCAUUAGGUUGAAAAGAGAAGGACAAACUGAAUUGCUUCAGAGGACUGGCUUGACCACCACAUUUAUUUUCAUCAGGCGCAAAGGGUAAUAGUUUUCUACACAAACUUGCAAAGAAAAUGUUGUGAUCCCUUAAAUAAACACAAGACAAUAAAAAUUGAUAGAAGGGUGUGGCGACAGUAGCAGGAAAAGCGGCAUCUAGUGGGUAAAACAUGGUACUUUAACAUGAAUUCAUGGUAAAUAAUGCAAAAUGACUUCAAUGGCUAAUUUAUCUAAACAGGGGGGGAAAAAGAUAAUCAGAUUCACAGGAAAUACAUUACAAAGGACGAAGAAGCAAUACUCCAAGCCGCAGCUCCAUACCAGUUGUUAGACAUAGAAAACCGAUUCUGUAUACUGGUUGAUGGGAUAGUAUUGGCGGGUGGGGGUUCUGGAGCUGGCCUUUGACCAUUUUAUUGGAUUCCUCAUGUCUUACUCAAUGGUAGGAAUAAGUUUGGAUUUAAUCGGAUGUUGGGUACUAUAUUUGUGGAAUAUUAUGUGAAUCCUAUAAAUUAAAAGGGCCAAUUUGGGUGAAAUCAAUUUUCUUAAUUUCUCAGAGAUCAAAUGAAAUUAACAAAAUUACGUUUCACGAACGCUAAUCUUAUGUUUCUAACUUCAGAAACUAUUUCAGAACAAUCUGAGAUGGUGGGUGUCAUGGCUUGCUGAAAUGACAUGGAAUGACCCAUGUAUUUGCAUAUUUCAGUUAGGGAGCCUCCUCUGAAGUGCACGUGUGCGUGCAAUAACUCAAUUUGCCCUUGCAGUCCAAAACAACAAAAAUUGAAACUAUGGCAACGGGUAAAGUAUACAAAACUUUGUCCAUAACGGUUUUGGGAACAGGAAACUGUAUUGAGAUCAAAUGUUUCAUCGAUGAGCAGAAUUUCGGUCAAAAUCCAUCUUCUCCCACUGCCGGCCACAGCUGGACUUCCUCUCAUCACCAUAUUUGGUGGUGAGUGGAAACGCCAACCAAAUGCUUCAGAUUUAUACAUCCGGUGAAACAUCUGGCUCACUGUUCCAUCUGUGGCGUAAAGGUAAGGUUGGUAUCUUCAGACAACUAGUUACCCUGCCAAUAAUAACACAUAGCCAGCUAAAGUUAACUACUGUAGCCAACUACGUUAAAAGUAUAGACUAACGUAGAGUUGAGAAUUCUUAGCUAAAUAACACCCAGCUAUGCGCAGACUCGGGUGUCUGCCAUCAUAUUAUGUUAUAUAAUAUUUGGGGGGGAAGAGAUCCAUUGUAACGUUACAUCCUCAAUUAGCCAAGUUAACUUUAGCCAACUAUAGUUCCUCGCUCCCUUAACGUUAGUCAAGUGGCCAAGCUAAAACGUGAAUCACAGCUAACGUCAGUUAGCAUUCCCUACCGUUGGCUAACUUACCUCGGCCUCAAUUUCUGCUAUUUUGGCGAGUAAACUCAUCUUGUAGCUGGUCCUUAGAUGAUAUCACAUAUAACGAUUAAACACGUGUAAUAGCUAAAUUGUUGCGUUUUUAUCACGCAAGCAUACAAUGGCAAACUAGCAAAAGCUAACACUCAUGUGUUCAACCUGCGGCUCUCGCUAGGAGGAAGAGGCAGCCGGCCAACCAAAGAAACUCGAUGGCAAACCGAGAACUCAAAAAACGGCGACGCCGUUGGCGCUACCUACUGGUAUUAAGUUGUUUGCAGGUUUAUGUCUCUCUCUCCCCAGUCAAAUGGAGGUAUUAGUAAUGCACACACAUCUGUCUUCUCUGUAGGUGUUCCCCUUGGACUCUAGCUGCUCUCGGAGGAGGUGGGUGGUGCAGUGGAGGAUGACCUCCGUCUGGACACAGACUGCGAUCGCUCAGGGCUGUGUUUGUUGUACGGCUGAAGCUGCACCUCCAGGAAGUCCCUGUGCUGCUGGCUGAUGACCUGGCUGAUGAGUCCUGGCAGGGCCUGCAGGUUCCCCAGCAAAGUCUCCAGCUUGGUCUCCAGCAGGGCGAUCCUCUUCUCCAUGUCCUCCCCUCUCUCGUUCAGGUCUGAGAUCAGGUCAUACAUGAUGUUCUGAGUCUGGAGGAGGAAAGACACUCGGUCAUAGUAAGAGGGCAAGACCCUUCCAGAGCAUGUGGUGCUUUAGGCUAGAAGUUGCAGGCAAUUGUAAAAUUAUUUGUUUUAUUUACCUUAUUUUGUAUAUUUUAAUAACCUUUAUUUACACAGGCAAGUCAAUAAAUAAGAACAAAUUCUUAUUUACAAUGGCAAUCUGUCCAGAGCCAUUUGAGGGGCAAAUCGUAAUUUAGUCACAUUUUAAUUUAGUCAUGGAUGUCAAAAGGCUAAGUGGAAGUUUGACUGAAAUGGAAGUUAUGAGUUGCCCCUUAGUUGAAAAGAACCAGCAUGAAAUGUAUACUUCUUAAAAGGAACAGCUUGUGAAUAAUUUGAUUAUCGGUUGCAUCAUUCUAAGUAUCUAAUCAUGCCACUGUUUCCCACUACAACACUAAACUGUUCCCUGGAGAUGUUGCUUUUUUCUCAGAUUAUUAGUCUGCCCUCCAUGGCAGAACUGAACUCAGUCUGCAGCUAUUCUUUUCAACCAUCUUGAAAAAGUGUUAACGCACAGCUGAGUCAAUGUAGACAUAAAUAUAAUAAAAAGUGUCUGGAUACGGGCAAUUCAAAUUUCACAGAUCUCCAUCACAACAAACAAAACCUGAUGCUGUAGAUAAGCAAAUAAAAUAUUAAUUGAUAAUUUGCAGAGAAAUUCUGCUGUAUACACUUACUAACUUCUGCACCAGGAAGUUGAUCUUCUUCCUCUCGACACAUGGCAUGUUAUCAAACAGUGAGAGAUCCAGUUCCAAGGGGGCUGGAGAGUGGGAGAGGGCUGCUGUGUACUGAGCUAAUGUUCACUAUGAGAACAAUCGCUGCCAGCAUGUGGCCAAUGCCAUCCAUCCAUCCAUCCAUCACUUACCUUGUCCUUUCCUCAUUUGGGGUAGGAAUAAUGGGCUGGGUGGCUUGUUUAGAAUCACAGCGAUCCACCUCAGGCCAAAACAACACUGACAGCUUUUCACCACCCUGGCGCUCCAACUUGGGCGGGCAGAUAGGGUUUCACUACGUUGCAUCACUACCAGAGCCACUCAUCACUUCCUAUGAUAUUUUAAAAGGCAAUUUCCACAGAUGAUCAAGGAAUUUAGAAUUGACAUGGUUAGAGGCUUUAAAUUUAUCUUGGAACUUUAUGAAAAUAAGGAUGGAACCUUGAGGCAAUAGCAAAAUGCAACAUGAUAUAGAACUGCCUAAAUUCGAGAUUUUCUGGAGGUAACAAGUGAAUUUUGGAUAGACACAUAGAUGAACUGACUCGAGUUUGCCUCAGUUAAUCAUGAAAAAUUCAACUGCAAAUUAAUUAAAUCUUUAUAACACAGCACUAAUAAAAUAAGACCAGAACUCUGUCAAGAGUAGACUGGGACUGUAAGUAUAUUCAGUUAAGGCACAAAAACGCUUGUGUAAGCAUACACGACUGCAUUGUGGGCUGAUUUCAGACUCUGAUUAAGCCGACUCUGGAUGCAGGAAAUGACCUGUGGGUAUACAUAGGCCUUUGAUGUACUAAAACCCUGUUACUGAAACCCAAUACCACAAGUAGCUGAAAUUAUAAUGGCUCCAAACUCAGUAAAAAGAUAAGUGUAGAAAAUUACAAUAAAUCAUAAAGAAAAAUAAUAUCCUGCAUUUUCAUUUUCAAUAAUAAAAGGCUUAUUCAAGGUGAGGACAAAUGCUGAAAAAGGAGUUUGAUACUCCUUAAUACUAUUAAUAUAUUCUGACUCAAAUGAUAGCCUGCUUUAUGUUACGCCCCAAAUAGAGUUUUUUUUUUUUUUACCACUGCUAUGUGAGGGAUUUUUCAUAGCUUUGCAGAGGCUAUGCAGCUGCCAAAGUUAUUUUAAGCUCCAUUAUACAGCUCUAUCGAUCCACAGGGAGCUCAUGUACUGUGAUUUGUAAUGCUAUGCUGCCCUCUGGUGGCGAAAGCCACUUAUGACAAUGAUUAAAGAUGGCUGAAUGAGCUGUAUGAGUCAUCUUCCCAAAUGUCAACCACCUUUCUAACUCACCGUGAGCCACUUGUUUCACAGCCAUGGGUGACUGUAAUAUUAACUAGCUAAUGUCUUCCGUGGCAUGGUGUCAUGAAACUGAUUUGACCGUGGUGGAUAUUUUAAUGUCAAAGCCCUCUAACUCUCUUUCUCCCUUCUAUAUUUCUGGCUGAAUCAUCACAUCACACUCACAGCGUGUUUCCCUUCCCUUAAUGUUUUUUUUUGCUGCGUCAGGCUGGCUCUGUGACAGGUCUUUCCCUAAGGUUUGUCAACUUCUGUUUAGUGCAUCACAAGAUAAACACCACAGAGAGAUUUGCUGAAACAUAGCAAUGUGUUAAUUACCAUCAAGGGGCGGUUUCCCAGACACAGAUUAAGAUAACUCCUGGACUAAAAAGCCCUUUCAAGAUUCUCCUUGACCAUGCAUUUUAAUCCAGGACUAGGCUUAAUCUCAGUCUGGAAAACCGAACCUUAAGGUAUUUGACAAACUGAUGACAUAUAAAUUACAGUUUUACUUACCUAUCAGGGUGGGGAUCCUGAUCUCAUAAAAUAAUAUGCAUACCUUUUAUAUAAUCUUUAAAACCAAGAUAUUGUAGGUUUCCACUAACAACCAGGGUUGGAAAUGCUGGGGGAAAUGGGUUCCCCUGGGAGAUCGUUUUGACAUGCAGAAAUGUGCAUCUUUAAAUUUUCCUCUAUCAUUUUGGCAUGCACUGAAUUCAAGGAUUUUACAUUGGAGGGUUCGCAUAGUGAUUUUUUUCUCCUUUUUCACCCCUUAUAAUAUGCAUAUCUUUUUAUAAUCUUUGAAACCAAGAUACUGUAUGUUUCCACCAACAACAGUCCUGCAUCUACCCUGAGUGCCAGUCUGUUUAAUAUGCUAUCAUGCCAACUCCUUGUUAACACUCAUUGUCAUGCCAAUGACAGCAAUGGAGUUGGCAAGAGCUCAAACAGAUCUGGGACCAGGCUAUCCUGCACCCAGUUCAAGAAGUGGAAAUAUAUUGUGUAUUUUCUUCCAAUGACAGUACAUAACUGGUUCUUCUUAACAUUCAUAUGAAAAAGUCUGUUUAUUUGACACCUGUAGACUUUGUUUGUUUAUAUGAAAAGGUGUUACUAAUCGACCCGAUGCGUUGAUAUCACAUGUAUCAAAUGGAAUCCUUCAAAUCAAAAAGUGGGUUAGAUAGAGAUCAAUCCAAAUGCACAACCAAACUUCACAACCAAAAUAAACUGGAAUAUGUGACGUUUGUCAGUCCAGCUUACCUUUGCAAGGUCCACUAGUGAGUUUGCUUGGUCAUUCAGCUUGCGUUGCUCCAUUUUAACACUUCUCAAUCUGAACAGAAGACCAUUCAGAACCCAAUAAAUGUAUCUAUUUGGUAAAGAUGGGUUUAACAGAUGUGUGCACACAGAAGGAAUACACAUAGAGAGCACUCACUCCUAGGACAUGCACAGGAUGUGUGUAGAAAAUGCAGGAAUUGGUUUAAGACAGUUUGAUUGGUUGAGCUGCAUGCAAGUGAAGACCAGAGUAUAGAAGCUGCCAGAGAGGAGAAUGUCUACUACUGCAGUAAAUCUUCAGCCCCUGAUCUCUACAACAAAGUAACAUACAAGGGCUCAACUAGGGAGAUAAAAUCGCUUGCAAUGGGAUUUUGCUGAAUUAUAGGAUUAAAGCAGUGUAUAUAAACUAUAAUAAUAAAAGCUUAAU